rnacentral:tRNA from 1 species
CGGGAUGUGGCGCAGUCUGGCCAGCGCGGGCGUCUGGGAGGCGCCAGGUCACAGGUUCGAAUCCCGCCGUCCCGA